GGGCUCCGAAAGGAGAGCGUGGUGGCUGGAGGUGAUCGGAAUGGACCGGCUGGAGUGUGCCGGGCUGACAGGUCUGAGGCCUGAAGGACUUCCGGGAACCGCAAAGCACGGUGUGCCUCCGUUGUCCUGAAGAAAAAGCCGCGCGCGGACGACUGGCCGGCCCGCCGUUGCAGCUCCCAGAAGUUGACAGGCAUCCUGCCGUGACCGGUGUGAGUAUGGUAUCAGGAUGAUUUGACUGCAAGCAACAGAAAAAUCAAACAAAAAUGGCCUAAGCAAAGAAGAGAAAUGAUUAUUUCACAUUCCAAGAAGUUUGGGAGUCGAGUGGUUAAACGGCUAAUUAAUCUAGAGCUCAACAAUAUCACCCAGGACCCAUUUUCACUAUGGUGGCUAAAGCCCUGCACCCUUCAGGCUUGCACUAUGGCAGCAGCAGUGACAGUAAAGACACCCUUACACCACAAUGCUCCAUGACCAGGGAGAGGGUCUCCUCUCUCCUGCCCCUUUCUAGAGGCUCCACCGAAGAUUUCUCUUCACAUUCCGUUUCUCAUUCCUGAAGCAGUCGCUAGCAACAGGGAUGGACUUACUGCAAUGGGUACAGAGCAAUUAAGAUUCGCCACUAGGUGAGUCCUUUGGAAAACACUUGGCCGCCCAAUAUAUAAACAAAUCUGGUACUCCUGUCAAGAAAGAGGUGGGUAAUUCCCAACAGUCAAUAGUGUCUGCCACAAGUGAAAUAUCUCAUCAGAGAAAACUGAGUAGGUAAUACAUGAUUCUGUGUUU
rnacentral:antisense_RNA from 1 species